rnacentral:rRNA from 1 species
AGUGAACGCUGGCGGUAGGCCUAACACAUGCAAGUCGAACGGCAGCACAGUAAGAGCUUGCUCUUACGGGUGGCGAGUGGCGGACGGGUGAGGAAUACAUCGGAAUCUACUUUUUCGUGGGGGUUAACGUAGGGAAACUUACGCUAAUACCGCAUACGACCUACGGGUGAAAGCAGGGGAUCUUCGGACCUUGCGCGAUUGAAUGAGCCGAUGUCGGAUUAGCUAGUUGGCGGGGUAAAGGCCCACCAAGGCGACGAUCCGUAGCUGGUCUGAGAGGAUGAUCAGCCACACUGGAACUGAGACACGGUCCAGACUCCUACGGGAGGCAGCAGUGGGGAAUAUUGGACAAUGGGCGCAAGCCUGAUCCAGCCAUACCGGGUGGGUGAAGAAGGCCUUCGGGUUGUAAAGCCCUUUUGUUGGGAAAGAAAAGCAGCAGGUUAAUACCCCGCUGUUCUGACGGUACCCAAAGAAUAAGCACCGGCUAACUUCGUG